rnacentral:tRNA from 1 species
GGAGAGAUGGCUCAGCAGUUAAGAGCACUGGCUGCUCUUCCAGAGGACCUGGGUUCAAUUCCCAGCCCCA